GCAAAACAGGCAACGGGCCUGAACUCACAGAGCACUAAUGUCGGCCCAGGAAGCAGGGAUUAAGCACAGAACACCACCAGAUUAAAGAAUUCAUUGCAAACAUGAAAACAAGAAACUUUGAACGACCUCAGAGAACAUGAUGAUGUGAACUGUACUGAUUGCAUUAAAAUAUGUAAAGGAAAUGAGGAAAUAUCACCAAACCACAUGGUAGAGAGACUUGGUCCCCUGCUGCUGGGCACGUCCUCCAGGGAAAGAGAUGGAGCAGUGAGUGGCACGGCGGUGGCCCCUCAAAGUCUCUUCUCCGAGGAGCCCACUGUGAGACAAGAAUCUGUGAAUAGUCUGACUUGGUUUCUCGGUGAGUGUACAGUCACCUGCAUUGGGAAUCCAUCACACGUCCGUGUGGCCCGAGACACUCUGCACAUGGAGCUGGGGGCCCUGGG
rnacentral:lncRNA from 1 species